rnacentral:lncRNA from 1 species
GGGUGGGUUGCCAACUUGUUGGCAUAUGAGAUUAGAGGAGAAUUGUCUCCUCUUAGGUGAGAGUUCUAGCCCCUAGCGUUGGGGUUAUUGGGAGAUAGGAAUCCAAAGUAGAGAAAGGUGUUUCUCUACCUUUCUUCCAUUGCCUACAUCCUCCUUCGAUCCAUCUUCAACAUCGGAAGGGUCCGAGUUGUUCGAAGAA